UUAGUGUUAUUAAAUUUAUUCUCCAAUAUCUACAGCCGAGUUUCGUUCUUCUUGUUGAAUAACUAAUCGAGGGUCCUCCAUAUUUCGUGGGCUUAUUUGCACCUUAUAAUAUGAUCAAAUAAACUGGAGGAGAUGGAUCUCUUCAAGAUGAACUCCGCCUUCACAUUAGUCUGCUUUCAGUUCUUAUAUACAGCAUUAUUUUCUGGUUCGUCGAUGGGAGGACUUGUGUUACUUCUGUUGAUAAUAUCCUAUAAGUCCUCACCCAUAAGGUAUGCUUCCAUACCUUAUAAUUGGACUGAUUUAACAACUCCAUGCCCAGUUCAUUACCACAACCGCUAAAAUCCAUAGAGAGAAACAAGUUGAAUCUAUCACUAACCUGAUCUUAAAAUAAAAUUUAGAAUCCAAUGUGUGGUUG
rnacentral:lncRNA from 1 species